AGUCGAGAAUUUUUCUCAAUGGGGGAAACCCUGAAGGAGCGACGCCGCGUGGGGGAUGAAUGGCUUCGGCCCGUAAACCCCUGUCAUUUGCGAUCAAACCUUACAUUUUAAUAAAGUGUGAGCUGAUAGUAGCGAAAGAGGAAGGGACGGCUAACUCUGUGCCAGCAGCCGCGGUAAUACAGAGGUCCCAAGCGUUGUUCGGAUUCACUGGGCGUAAAGGGUGCGUAGGCGGUCGGGUAAGUCUGACGUGAAAUCUUCAAGCUCAACUUGGAAACUGCGUCGGAUACUAUUCGGCUAGAGGAAUGGAGGGGAGACUGGAAUACUUGGUGUAGCAGUGAAAUGCGUAGAUAUCAAGUGGAACACCAGUGGCGAAGGCGAGUCUCUGGACAUUUCCUGACGCUGAGGCACGAAAGCCAGGGGAGCAAA
rnacentral:rRNA from 1 species